UUUUAGAAGUGCCACAGAACCUUCUGCAAGUCUCUUUUAACUCAAACUUGCAAACAUUGGCACAAUACAGUAAUACCCAAAUGUUGUUCAGAACAUGCUGACGAUACUUCUAAAACAAAAUAUGGAGAGCGUACAGUUUUGACAUCCAUAAUAAGUGGCUAUGCAAGGAGCAAUAUACAAGUUCCAAACUUCUGUCUACUGUGUUUUGAAGAGCUCUGGAGAGGGAAGAAGCAGAGGAAGGAGAUGAAAGAAAACAGGUAUGUAUUUUAGGCUUUAAAAGGACCCAAGUAGAUAGACAUGUCAACAAGAAGUUCUGCAUUUUAAAAAGGAAAAGAAAUGUAAGUUCUGUAAGAUUUCCUUAAUGUAAGUCAAAAGUAAAUAUCCUUUGAAAGACUUGAGAACACUUUGUCCUAACUUCAAAAGGGUUUGGUUAAUCACUUUAAUCACGCUUCUUGCACUUUUCUACUUAGCUGCAUAACAAUUUCUACGCUUAUAUAUGAAAAUGACAUUCAUAUUGCUUACAACACUGCAAGCAGCAGGCUCAAACAAACAAACAAACAGGAUUGAUCCUCGCUUAAUAGUUAUCACAGGUAAUGCUUAGGCUGUUUCUCCAGGUACUUCCAGGUGGUGAAUCAGAGAACCUACGUCAGGCUCCAGCUCUGAAUUACCUUCAGAGGAUAUUUAUUUCUUCACAAGCACAGCAGAAGUUUGAAGAGACUGUCCUCAUAAAUCUGUCACCUAGAAAGGCAAAAUGCAUUGCAGCAUGAGAGUGGGGAACCAGCACAACAGAAAUCCCUCUCAGAAGAAAUACAGAUGUUAUGUAAUAAGCAAAGCCUAUGACAAAAGUACGUGUAAUGUACUGUAAUUGUGUCAUUUCUCAAAGUUUUACAUAAUGAUUUUCUGUUUCUAAAUUGUACUUCAUUAUUGGGAGCGGGAGAAGGUAAUUGUUCUCUGGGUGCUGCUGAUAGCUCCUACGGGCACAAUCAGUCCUGCUGAGACACAUAAUUCAUGCACUGUUUGCCUCUGAUACAGCUACAUUUGCUAAAGCAGUGCUGUGAUUAGAUUCCUACAGAAUAAAUGCAACUAUAAAUCUCUGUGUUGCA
rnacentral:lncRNA from 1 species